CCCCAAAAUCACCCAAAAUCACCCCAAAAAUUCCUGUAAAAAUCCCCCAGAAUUGACCCAAAAUCGCCCAGAAUUGCCCCAGAAAUUCCUGUAAAAAUCCCCCAGAAUUGACCCAAAAUUCCUGCAAAAAUCCCGCUGGAAUUACCCCAAAAUUCCCCUGGAAUUGCCCCAAAAUUCACCCCAAAAUCGGUCCCGGAAUUCCGGAUGUGCGCCGUGAUCCAGGUGGGAUCAGUCAAGGUAUGGAAAGGCUUCGUCCCAGGUGACCCUCAGGUGAUUCCAGGUGUCCCCAGGUGUCCCUCAGGUGUUCCCAGGUGACUCCAGGUGUCCCCAGAUGUGCUCAGGUGUCCCUCAGGUGCCCCUCAGGUGUCCCCAGGUG